GGGCGCGUUCGCCAGCUCUUCCUCUCACGGAGCGUCGAUCCCUCGCCCACACGGAUUUGCAGCCGGGAUCUUCGGUACUUGGGCCUCUUCGGGGCAGGAGAUUCUUCCAAUGCGCGAACUUUGAUCAGACAUAUCGUCCAAUGUGCAACUUCAUCGAGUGGGUAGACAUGGAGAAC